rnacentral:sRNA from 1 species
CCAGGCCUAAAGGAACAAGUCGAACGGUAACAGGAAGCAGCUUGCUGCUUCGCUUAUCACUGGCGGACGGGUGAGUAAUGUCUGGGAAGCUGCCUGAUGGAGGGGGAUAACUACUGGAAACGGUAGCUAAUACCGCAUAAUGUCGCAAGACCAAAGAGGGGGACCUUCGGGCCUCUUGCCAUCGGAUGUGCCCAGAUGGGAUUAGCUUGUUGGUGGGGUAACGGCUCACCAAGGCGACGAUCCCUAGCUGGUCUGAGAGGAUGACCAGCCACACUGGAACUGAGACACGGUCCAGACUCCUACGGGAGGCAGCAGUGGG